UACGGAGGGUGCGAGCGUUGUCCGGAAUCAUUGGGCGUAAAGGGCGCGUAGGCGGCGCGACAAGCGUGCGGUGAAAGCUCGGGGCUCAACCCCGAGUCGGCCGUGCGAACUGUUGUGCUUGAGCACUGUAGAGGCAGGCGGAAUUCCGGGUGUAGCGGUGGAAUGCGUAGAGAUCCGGAAGAACACCGGUGGCGAAGGCGGCCUGCUGGGCAGUAGCUGACGCUGAGGCGCGACAGCGUGGGGAGCAAACAGG
rnacentral:rRNA from 1 species